rnacentral:rRNA from 1 species
AUUGAACGCUGGCGGCAGGCUUAACACAUGCAAGUCGAGCGGAGAUGAGGUGCUUGCACCUUAUCUUAGCGGCGGACGGGUGAGUAAUGCUUAGGAAUCUGCCUAUUAGUGGGGGACAACAUUCCGAAAGGAAUGCUAAUACCGCAUACGUCCUACGGGAGAAAGCAGGGGAUCUUCGGACCUUGCGCUAAUAGAUGAGCCUAAGUCGGAUUAGCUAGUGGGUGGGGUAAAGGCCUACCAAAGCGACGAUCUGUAGCGGGUCUGAGAGGAUGAUCCGCCACACUGGGACUGAGACACGGCCCAGACUCCUACGGGAGGCAGCAGUGGGGAAUAUUGGACAAUGGGGGAAACCCUGAUCCAGCCAUGCCGCGUGUGUGAAGAAGGCCUUAUGGUUGUAAAGCACUUUAAGCGAGGAGGAGGCUACUGAGACUAAUACUCUUGGAUAGUGGACGUUACUCGCAGAAUAAGCACCGGCUAACUCUGUGCCAGCCGCCGCGGUAAAAC